GCCAGCAGCCGCGGUAACACCGGCGGCCCGAGUGGUGAUCGUGAUUAUUGGGUCUAAAGGGUCCGUAGCCGGUUGGUCAGUCCUCCGGGAAAUCUGAUAGCUCAACUAUUAGGCUUUCGGGGGAUACUGCCAGACUUGGAACCGGGAGAGGUAAGAGGUACUACAGGGGUAGGAGUGAAACCUUGUAAUCCCUGUGGGACCACCUGUGGCGAAGGCGUCUUACCAGAACGGGUUCGACGGUGAGGGACGAAAGCUGGGGGCACGAACCGGAUUAGAUACCCGGGUAGUCCCAGCCGUAAACGAUGCUCGCUAGGUGUCAGGCAUGGCGCGACCGUGUCUGGUGCCGCAGGGAAGCCGUGAAGCGAGCCACCUGGGAAGUACGGCCGCAAGGCUGAAACUUAAAGGAAUUGGCGGGGGAGCACAACAACGGGUGGAGCCUGCGGUUUAAUUGGACUCAACGCCGGACAACUCACCGGGGGCGACAGCAAUAUGUAGGCCAAGCUGAAGACUUUGCCUGGAUCGCUGAGAAGUGGUGCAUGG
rnacentral:rRNA from 1 species